AACGAACGCUGGCGGCAGGCUUAACACAUGCAAGUCGAGCGCCCCGCAAGGGGAGCGGCAGACGGGUGAGUAACGCGUGGGAAUCUACCCAUCUCUACGGAAUAACGCAUGGAAACGUGUGCUAAUACCGUAUACGUCCUUCGGGAGAAAGAUUUAUCGGAGAGGGAUGAGCCCGCGUGGGAUUAGCUAGUUGGCGGGGUAAAGGCCUACCAAGGCGACGAUCCAUAGCUGGUCUGAGAGGAUGAUCAGCCAGACUGGGACUGAGACACGGCCCAGACUCCUACGGGAGGCAGCAGUGGGGAAUAUUGGACAAUGGGCGCAAGCCUGAUCCAGCCAUGCCGCGUGAGUGAUGAAGGCCCUAGGGUUGUAAAGCUCUUUCACCGGUGAAGAUAAUGACGGUAACCGGAGAAGAAGCCACGGCUAACUUCGUGCCAGCCGCCGCCGUAAUAC
rnacentral:rRNA from 1 species